rnacentral:ncRNA from 1 species
AUUGUUCAAAUCUUUGACAACACGAAAAAACCAUUGUUCAACUCUUUGACAACAUGAAAAAACCAAAAGCUCUGCCCUCCCUCUCUAUCUNAGGGAAUUUCCGGUGGAGCGGUGAAAUGCGUAGAGAUCGGAAAGAACACCAACGGCGAAAGCACUCUGCUGGGCCGACACUGACACUGAGAGAAGAAAGCUAGGGGAGCGAAUGGGAUUAGAUACCCCAGUAGUCCUAGCCUUAAACGAUGGAUACUAGGCACUGUGCGUAUCGACCCAUGUAGUGCUGUAGCUAAUGUGAUAAAGGAGGU